CAAAAAUAACAUUACCAUUCAAUCAUUAAACGACUUCUCAACAAAAAUUUUUCCACAGUGGAAAAUGUGUUUAGAAGAUGGUCUGCUGGUUCCACACUAUGAAGAUCUCUGGAAGACACGCUUUGCCUCCCUCCUUUAGGGCAACAGAGGCUUGCUCUCUGUCAUUCCUGGAAGGCUGUGUUGCUUAUUUGGCGUGGAAUUCGAGAGAGUGAUCUGGGAAGAAGUUGGCAUGAAAGGCUUGAUGUACAGAACAAUAUCAUCCGCUCUCAUGAUCUGUGGACUGGAACCGGAGCUCAAAGGCUGCAGCCUUUCUGGCUCACACUGUGCAAGGGGAAACGGCUGGUGCUCAUGUUUUAUUGGAAGGAUGGGAACAAAGGAUGUUAAGAGGACUACACAGGGACCGUGGGAGUCAUAACAAGUCUUGUGAAAUUGUUUCAACUCCUUUCCUCAACCUUAGCUGUUGUGACAAAUGUGUCAAAGCUUUAGACAGGGAAUACUGGAUGCUGAUGGAGCCUGGGUCGAUGUAGCACAUGGCUGUGCCUCCACGUUAAGGUACUGAUCAGGAAGGAGAGAAAGAGGAAAGUCUUUGAAGAAAGAUGAGGGUACUGACGUUUAUUCUUAAACUAGCUAAGCAUUACUACUUUAAGAAAAAUUUCGUUUCUGGUCUGGAAAGCCACUUUUUCACAAGCAUUUCAACUGCUUUGUAUUUGGAUGGAUGUCAUUACAAUUCAUUGACCUGAGAUUGAAAUAUAAAAAAACAACUGGUAUUCGGAAAAAUGUAUUCAUCUCCAAGUGUGCAAGUACCUUGCUCCCAGAUGUGAAGGAGUGUUUUUGCCUUUCCUAGGCCAGCUGUCGUCAAUCUGGAGACUUCAUUUAGAUUGUCUGUGAACAAGUAUGUUUUGGGUAAAUUGUGACUUCUCUGCAAGGGAACAAGAUAUGUAUUAAAGCCCGCAUGGAUUCCCUCUGGGACAUAUAUCUGGGGCUGAGCUCAAAGUGAUGAUUGCGGAAGUGCCCUGAGUAAGUUGCCAAUGUGUCUGCUGCCUACUGUACAAAGAUUUCAAGUUUGCAAGCCCGUGAAUUCUUCCACGACUAUCCAUGAGCACAGAGAGAAGUAAAUAUUGAGUUCUGCAGAUGGCACCUUAUUUCCCUUUAGAUCACCAGGAUCAGACAAUAAAAGAACACUAGUAGCCUUGCCAGAGGGAGCAAAGGCCACCACAUGUCUGGGAACCGAAUAUGAAGUUUCAUUGGCUUAGAGUCCACCAUUUUUCUAAAUCAUCAUCCAGCUUUAAGGAGAAGUUAAAGCAGAAACGUGUUUCUAAUGCAAGUGGCUGGACUUUGGAUGGUUUUUGAAGGAUACAGGUCAUAGUUUUGUUUCUAGAUUCGAGAGACUGCCUCAUCACCAGAAAAUGAAGAAGUGAGGACCCCAAAGAACUUGAUUCUUAUUUUCUGCUCUUGUACCCAGCCUGAUAGACAUCUUCACUCACUUUUUUUUAUACACACUUUAAAAUUUGCAUCUGCAAAAUGGG
rnacentral:lncRNA from 1 species